GACAAGUAAUAGAGUAUCACACGCCCUCUUGGAGUUCUUUGGUUAGUAAAAUUCCUUGAAGAGGAACAUGACCCAUAUUGUGAUGUGAUGAAUAACAAACCGGUCUUUCUUUAUAGAAACAUUCUUGAUAUGGGGCAGCAACAAUAUAUUCCUGCAAAGAGUGAUAUGGAUAAUAACAGUAAUAAAAACAUGAUGCAUAAGGAGCCCUGUUAUACAGAUCAUAUUCAUGAAGAAUAUUAGCAGU
rnacentral:lncRNA from 1 species